rnacentral:rRNA from 1 species
CGACUGCGGGAGCUACCAUGCAAGCCGAGCGGUAGAGAUCUUUCGGGAUCUUGAGAGCGGCGUACGGGUGCGGAACACGUGUGCAACCUGCCUUUAUCUGGGGGAUAGCCUUUCGAAAGGGAGAUUAAUACCCCAUAAUAUAUUUAUCGGCAUCGAUAGAUAUUGAAAACUCCGGUGGAUAGAGAUGGGCACGCGCAAGAUUAGAUAGUUGGUGAGGUAACGGCUCACCAAGUCUACGAUCUUUAGGGGGCCUGAGAGGGUGAUCCCCCACACUGGUACUGAGACACGGACCAGACUCCUACGGGAGGCAGCAGUGAGGAAUAUUGGACAAUGGGUGAGAGCCUGAUCCAGCCAUCCCGCGUGAAGGACGACGGCCCUAUGGGUUGUAAACUUCUUUUGUAUAGGGAUAAACCUACUCUCGUGAGAGUAGCUGAAGGUACUAUACGAAUAAGCACCGGCUAACUCCGUGCCAGCAGCCGCGGUAAUACGGAGGGUGCAAGCGUUAUCCGGAUUUAUUGGGUUUAAAGGGUCCGUAGGCGGAUCUGUAAGUCAGUGGUGAAAUCUCACAGCUUAACUGUGAAACUGCCAUUGAUACUGCAGGUCUUGAGUGUUAUUGAAGUAGCUGGAAUAAGUAGUGUAGCGGUGAAAUGCAUAGAUAUUACUUAGAACACCAAUUGCGAAGGCAGGUUACUAAGCAACAACUGACGCUGAUGGACGAAAGCGUGGGGAGCGAACAGGAUUAGAUACCCUGGUAGUCCACGCCGUAAACGAUGCUAACUCGUUUUUGGGGCUUCGGCUUCAGAGACUAAGCGAAAGUGAUAAGUUAGCCACCUGGGGAGUACGUUCGCAAGAAUGAAACUCAAAGGAAUUGACGGGGGCCCGCACAAGCGGUGGAUUAUGUGGUUUAAUUCGAUGAUACGCGAGGAACCUUACCAAGGCUUAAAUGGGA